AUCGCUUAAAAAAGGUAACAUCUCGGUUAUGUACGUAAUAGUUAGUCAUAGUUAGUAGUUAGUUAACAGUGAGAAUUAUUGCCUAAACUGAAGUGUGACCAAAAAGGGUUUAUAAACUAAACAUUUCGUUUGACAAAAUAUUCAUCAUCAUAUAGGGAGCACUUCGGAUCAGAAAGAAACUCAGACAAGCACAUCAAUCUCACCCACACACACCACUAUACAACAACAAAACACAGAGACCACAGCGAGCACUUCUAAUCAGAAAGAAACUCAGAGAAGCUCAUCAAUCUCAUCCUCACGCACCACUAUACAACAACAAAAGCCAGAGAACACAGGUAAAAGUGUACUUUACAUUAUAUUUAAUGUUGAUGUUUUUUUUCAUAAAUGUGAAAAAAUACAUGAUAAACAUCUGUUUUGAUCAAAUACUCAUCAAAUAGGGAGCACUUCUAAUCAGAAAGAUAUUCAGACAAGCACUUCAACCUCACACCCACGCACCACUACACAACAACAAAACACAGACACCAAAGGUAAAAG
rnacentral:lncRNA from 1 species